rnacentral:rRNA from 1 species
UACGUAGGUGGCAAGCGUUGUCCGGAUUUACUGGGCGUAAAGAGCGCGCAGGCGGUCGUUUCAAAGUCGCGUGUGAAAGCCCCCGGCUCAACUGGGGAGGGUCACGCGAUACUGAUCGACUCGAAGGCAGGAGAGGGUAGUGGAAUUCCCGGUGUAGUGGUGAAAUGCGUAGAUAUCGGGAGAACACCAGUGGCGAAGGCGACUACCUGGCCUGUUCUUGACGCUGAGGCGCGAAAGCUAGGGGAGCAAACAGG